GUAAGGUCUGUGUACCGUGACGGAUUUUGACAAAAUACAAAAUCCCUUUACCAGGGAUCACUAAAUCAUCCAGCACACACGCCAGAGGCUGGACACAGCUGAACUGCAGCUCAAGGACAAGGUGUGGUUUGCUACGUUAUUCUAGCCUGUAAAAAAAAUAAAGUGCAGAAAAAAGAAAAAGUGACAAACGGAGGCAAAAGUGAAUUUUUGAACUACGUUGGCCCAAUUAUAGUCUAUGGGUACCUCAAGCCAUACGUUUCUAUAGGAUUUUUCUGUUUACAAAUGUAUCUACUGGACGUACAGCAAAAACGAGAUGUGAACAACCCCUUACAUGCUCACACAGCGACAGGCAGCAACAAGACGCUGCAAGAUAAGUUCCUGGGGAAAGAAGAUACUGACCGUCUGGCCUCUGUGCCUGUGGAAUCCUUCUCAGCCACCCAAUGCAUCCAUAAUAAUAAAGGCUCUUGCACACGACCGUACGUGUUU